rnacentral:lncRNA from 1 species
UUGGUCGACUUAGUUAAGCCAUUCCAUGGGAUCGUCACCGAUAAAGGUAGGAAAUUCGAGCUUAGCAAACUUGGAGUAGAAGAGUUGUCAACUCCCAUGGACUUUUUUAGUGUUGUCAUCUGGGGGCAUUCACGUUUGGCCUGGUUGGUUCAGGAGUGGUUGUUGGAUCUUUCUCUAUUUGACGUGUCAACAUCUGUGAGUCGUUUAAGAGUCUCCUCCAGCUGAUGGAUCUUAUCAGCCACAACUAUUUCCAUGCGAUUCAUGCUCUAUUGUAAGCCACUCAAGCCAAUUUCCAGAUUCUCAAGACUCUCUUUAUUGGUGUCCAUCGAUUAACUUGCUCUGAUA